UAGGGGGCAAGCGUUAUCCGGAUUUACUGGGUGUAAAGGGAGCGUAGACGGCAUGACAAGUCUGGAGUGAAAGACCGGGGCCCAACCCCGGGACUGCUUUGGAAACUGUCGGGCUAGAGUGCUGGAGAGGUAAGCGGAAUUCCUAGUGUAGCGGUGAAAUGCGUAGAUAUUAGGAAGAACACCAGUGGCGAAGGCGGCUUACUGGACAGUAACUGACGUUGAGGCUCGAAAGCGUGGGGAGCA
rnacentral:rRNA from 1 species